rnacentral:rRNA from 1 species
GACAGAGGAUGCAAGCGUUAUCCGGAAUGAUUGGGCGUAAAGCGUCUGUAGGUGGCUUUUCAAGUCCGCCGUCAAAUCCCAGGGCUCAACCCUGGACAGGCGGUGGAAACUACCAAGCUGGAGUACGGUAGGGGCAGAGGGAAUUUCCGGUGGAGCGGUGAAAUGCAUUGAGAUCGGAAAGAACACCGGUGGCGAAAGCGCUCUACUGGGCCUGCACUGACACUGAGGGACGAAAGCUAGGGGAGCGAAAGGG